rnacentral:rRNA from 1 species
UACGUAGGGCGCAAGCGUUGUCCGGAAUUAUUGGGCGUAAAGAGCUCGUAGGCGGUUUGUCACGUCGGCCGUGAAAACUCGGGGCUCAACCCCGAGCCUGCGGUCGAUACGGGCAGACUAGAGUGCUGUAGGGGAGACUGGAAUUCCUGGUGUAGCGGUGAAAUGCGCAGAUAUCAGGAGGAACACCGGUGGCGAAGGCGGGUCUCUGGGCAGUAACUGACGCUGAGGAGCGAAAGCGUGGGGAGCGAACAGG